UUUAGAAUAAUCACAUUCUUUGCAGUUUGUUUAUAUUAACAUCUUUUUGUGUCUCUCUCCUGGGCAGGCCCCUCCUAACCUCCUAACUUGACUGAUUGACCUUCUAGGUGUUACUCUCAAUGACCCAACUUUGAACUAACUGCCCAUGUGGCAAGGUGAUGUGAAGAUACUUUCAUUCUGAAGGAAGACUCUAACAAUACAAAGGAAUGAAUAUCUAAUGGUGGAACUUCAGGUACAUAAAGUGUCCAAAGAUGUUUUCGGCCAGGAUGUUCUACCUUGUGCUGUUCAAAUGAUCGACUAGGUAGCCUCCUACUUUACCCUCUUGAGAGGUUGGCUCUGCCCUUUGGAACUUCAGAAACAUCUGGCUUAUUGUCUUUCUCAAAGAAGGUUGUUGUCAAAGAUCAUAACAGCAAAAUCAUUUGGAGACUCAAAAAUUACCAACAAAGCCAGCUGAAGCCAGCAGCUCUUGGCAAGUUCUGUCAAGUUCUCCACAUUCUGCAAUCCAGGCAUUGAGACACUAUCUUUGAGAACAUGACUCAAAGAAAAAGUUUGCCACCCCAGAUCUGAGGAAUGCAGGCAGCUUGCUGUGAACACACUUAUCUGGAGUGCCCUGGGCCUCAGGUGGUCCUAUGAAAAGGCCAAUAUGGAGAGGAACUGAGGCCUCCCAUCCAGAGCCAACACAAACUUCCUCCUCAUGAGUGAAUCAGCAGGGAAGCGGAGUCUUCAACUCCAGUUCAGCCUUCAAAAGAUUUCAGCCUUACCUGCUAUCAGCCCGUAUCCUCAUGAGAGACGCCCAGCCAGAACCAUCUAGUCAAACCACUGCCAAAUAACGGAAGCACAGAAAGCAUAAGAGAUAAUAAAAGAUCAAGUGUUAUUUUAAGCCUCAAAGUUUUGGGGUAAUUUAUCAUGCAGCCAUAGUAAAUAGAAUAUAUUAUGUAUUGUCCCCAGGUAAAAUGCUCAUUCACUUCCUUUAAAAGUUCUUGGAGGUAGGAAGAAUAUAAACACAUAAAAAUCUUCAUCACCCUAUUAUAUCUGAUGAUUUCAAAGCUUUGCAAUAACUACUAAGACCUCAGACAUCACAUUCCAAUAAAGGUAUAGGAAUCAAAUUAUUUCUUUAGUAUU